GCAGGGCUUACCUGCAAGUCGAGCGGGGAAAGGUAGCUUGCUACCUGACCUAGCGGCGGACGGGUGAGUAAUGCUUAGGAAUCUGCCUAUUAGUGGGGGACAACAUUCCGAAAGGAAUGCUAAUACCGCAUACGCCCUACGGGGGAAAGCAGGGGAUCUUCGGACCUUGCGCUAAUAGAUGAGCCUAAGUCAGAUUAGCUAGUUGGUGGGGUAAAGGCCUACCAAGGCGACGAUCUGUAGCGGGUCUGAGAGGAUGAUCCGCCACACUGGGACUGAGACACGGCCCAGACUCCUACGGGAGGCAGCAGUGGGGAAUAUUGGACAAUGGGCGAAAGCCUGAUCCAGCCAUGCCGCGUGUGUGAAGAAGGCCUUUUGGUUGUAAAGCACUUUAAGCGAGGAGGAGGCUACUUAGAUUAAUACUCUAGGAUAGUGGACGUUACUCGCAGAAUAAGCACCGGCUAACUCUGUGCCAGCAGCCGCGGUAAUACAGAGGGUGCGAGCGUUAAUCGGAUUUACUGGGCGUAAAGCGUGCGUAGGCGGCUUUUUAAGUCGGAUGUGAAAUCCCUGAGCUUAACUUAGGAAUUGCAUUCGAUACUGGGAAGCUAGAGUAUGGGAGAGGAUGGUAGAAUUCCAGGUGUAGCGGUGAAAUGCGUAGAGAUCUGGAGGAAUACCGAUGGCGAAGGCAGCCAUCUGGCCUAAUACUGACGCUGAGGUACGAAAGCAUGGGGAGCAAACAGGAUUAGAUACCCUGGUAGUCCAUGCCGUAAACGAUGUCUACUAGCCGUUGGGGCCUUUGAGCUUUAGUGCGCAGCUAACGCGAUAAGUAGACGCUGGGAGUACGGUCGCAAGACUAAAACUCAAAUGAAUUGACGGGGGCCCGCACAAGCGGUGGAGCAUGUGGUUUAAUUGGAUGCAACGCGAAGAACCUUACCUGGUCUUGACAUAGUAAGAACUUUCCAGAGAUGGAUUGGUGCCUUCGGGAACUUACAUACAGCUGUUCUAGGCCGGUCGAGCUCGUGUCGUGAGAUGUUGGGUUAAGUCCCGCAACGAGCGCAACCCUUUUCCUUAUUUGCCAGCGGGUUAAGCCGGGAACUUUAAGGAUACUGCCAGUGACAAACUGGAGGAAGGCGGGGACGACGUCAAGUCAUCAUGGCCCUUACGACCAGGGCUACACACGUGCUACAAUGGUCGGUACAAAGGGUUGCUACCUAGCGAUAGGAUGCUAAUCUCAAAAAGCCGAUCGUAGUCCGGAUUGGAGUCUGCAACUCGACUCCAUGAAGUCGGAAUCGCUAGUAAUCGCGGAUCAGAAUGCCGCGGUGAAUACGUUCCCGGGCCUUGUACACACCGCCCGUCACACCAUGGGAAUUUGUUGCACCAGAAGUAGGUAGUCUAACCGCAAGGAGGACGCUACCACGGUG
rnacentral:rRNA from 1 species